GCCUUAGCACUUGGGGCAACAUCAGCCAUUUCACAUGUUGUUCUUGGUCAAUUCAAAACAUGUGUUGUGCUUCUUGGAAAUUUUUAUCUCUUUGGCUCCAAUCCAGGAGUGACCAGCAUAUGUGGUGCGUUCACAGCUAUUGCUGGAAUGUCUGCUUAUACAUACCUCAAUUUGUGCGGCAUGAAAUCACAGGCAGGGAAAACAUCUCCGCAUAAAACACCCGCAGCAAAAUCAAGGUUGAGUAGAGAAAAUGGAGAUAGUCAUGAUGGAUACGGUGGGG
rnacentral:misc_RNA from 1 species